rnacentral:rRNA from 1 species
UGAAUUCAGUUGUGACAGUUGCUGUCGCAUAAGAUUCAUCCCAGUCGUUGUCUCACCUCAUAUGGCAGGGCACGAUUGAGGAUGGAUGAAACUCAAACCGGCGCAAGUUCGCGUCAAGGAAAUGUUAAAAAACACGAGCCCUGUGUAGGGUUUAGUGGCGUGGAGUGUUGUUGCACACCACACGGUUCUAUACGACUCUCGGCAAUGGAUAUCUCGGCUCUCGCAUCGAUGAAGAGCGCAGCGAAAUGCGAUACGUGGUGUGAAUUGCAGAAUCCAGCGAACCAUCGAGUCUUUGAACGCAAGUUGCGCCCGAGGCCAACUGGCUGAGGGCACGUCUGCCUGGGCGUCAAGCGUUACGUCGCUCCGUGCCAAUUCCAUCUCGUCAAAGGGCGUGUCGGAUGAUGCUCGGAUGUGGAGAGUGGCCCGUCGUGCCCGUCGGUGCGGCGGGCUUAAGAGUGUGUUAUCGUCUCAUUGGGCCACGAACGACACGGGGUGGAUACAAGCUCUUAGCAAAGCCUUCGUUGUCUCGUGGUGCCCUGAGAUAUGGAUUAUAACCUUGAGAGGUGAUCCCAACCCAUGCGUCGAUCUGCAAAGCGAAGACGGCUUGGAAUGCGACCCC